ACUGUGAAGUGCUAUACAAACUGUAGUAGAUUGAUACUUGGUAUCAUCAAGGCAGAGCACGUUGAAGCAGUAA
rnacentral:sRNA from 12 species